rnacentral:misc_RNA from 1 species
AAAAAACUUUCUUCGAAGCUGGAGUUGUACAAGAAAAUUACUGAAGGAAAACGGGGAAAUGUCAAAUUUUCACAUAACAAUCGACAAGCAAAUUACAUCCAAUGACUACUACAGCCAUUGUGAUUGUGAAAUUUGCAGCUAGAAAAAUGAGCUCUAUAGCUCAAGCAAAGAAAACUGAACAUACGUUUACAGCCUGAAUUUAUUCUUCGAAAACGCAGACAAGAUGCACAAAAGUUACAGGAUUAGAUGGGUACUAACAAUAUCCUUGCCUAAAAGAGGCAGAUAUUUGCUUCUAGCUCAACCUUAAUAAUACACCUAUGCUUUUAUAAAGUACGGGAUGGCACACCACGGCCUCUGCCCCUACCACCACCAUAGCCAUAACCAGUUCCAUUUCCAUUUCCGUUUCCAUAUCCAUAUCCAUAUCCACCUCCUCUUCCAUAAUAUGAACCUCGAGAACGUCCACCACGUCCAGGACCACGACCACCACGACCGCCCCUGUAUCUUGAGAAAUCUCCGAAUGUCUCAACAUCUAUCUUCCUUUGCUCGGAGAACCUGGUCCUUCCAUGAUUUGAGUCAUGGUCAAGUGCAUUACUAGACAAAGAGUCAAAAAAGUCGUCCUUGUUGUAAACAGGCUGGAUAUCAAUCUUAGGAAGGUCAUCCUCAUAUUCGUUGUAAGAGAUAUCCUCAUCACUGCCAUUUCCAUCUCCUUCUCUGUUACUUUUGCCAAGAUGACCCCAUACUUCA